GCGCCGCCUCGAGGACCGGGACGUCGUCCGGCCUCAGGUCGAGCUCGGAGGAGCGCCCGCCGAGCCGGAUCGUCACCCGGGCGGCGCCC
rnacentral:tRNA from 1 species